rnacentral:rRNA from 1 species
UACGGGGGGAGCAAGCGUUGUUCGGAUUUACUGGGCGUAAAGGGCGGGUAGGCGGCCACCGCAAGUCAGUUGUGAAAUCUCCGGGCUUAACCCGGAAAGGUCAACUGAUACUGCGGGGCUAGAGUGCAGAAGGGGCAACUGGAAUUCUCGGUGUGGCGGUGAAAUGCGUAGAUAUCGAGAGGAACACCUGCGGCGAAGGCGGGUUGCUGGGCUGACACUGACGCUGAACUGCGAAAGCUAGGGGAGCGAACGGG